AGCCUAGGACGGGUACGGGCCCUGAAAGGGGGAGCCCGGACAUGGACUCUGAGACACAAGUCCAGGCCCUACGGGGCGCAGCAGGCGCGAAAACUGUGCAAUGCGCGAAAGCCCGACACGGGAAACCUGAGUGCCUUGACAAUGUCAA
rnacentral:rRNA from 1 species